rnacentral:rRNA from 1 species
AUUAAAUCAGUUAUCGUUUAUUUGAUAGUACCUUUUUACUUGGAUAACCGUGGUAAUUCUAGAGCUAAUACAUGCUAAAAACCUCGACUUCGGAAGGGGUGUAUUUAUUAGAUAAAAAACCAAUGCCCUUCGGGGCUCCUUGGUGAAUCAUAAUAACUUUACGAAUCGCAUGGCCUUGCGCCGGCGAUGGUUCAUUCAAAUUUCUGCCCUAUCAACUUUCGAUGGUAGGAUAGUGGCCUACCAUGGUUUCAACGGGUAACGGGGAAUUAGGGUUCGAUUCCGGAGAGGGAGCCUGAGAAACGGCUACCACAUCCAAGGAAGGCAGCAGGCGCGCAAAUUACCCAAUCCCAAUACGGGGAGGUAGUGACAAUAAAUACUGAUACAGGGCUCUUUUGGGUCUUGUAAUUGGAAUGAGUACAAUUUAAAUCCCUUAACGAGGAACAAUUGGAGGGCAAGUCUGGUGCCAGCAGCCGCGGUAAUUCCAGCUCCAAUAGCGUAUAUUAAAGUUGUUGCAGUUAAAAAGCUCGUAGUUGAACCUUGGGCCUGGCUGGCCGGUCCGCCUCACCGCGUGCACUGGUUCGGCCGGGCCUUUCCUUCUGGGGAGCCGCAUGCCCUUCACUGGGUGUGUCGGGGAACCAGGACUUUUACUUUGAAAAAAUUAGAGUGUUCAAAGCAGGUCCUAUGCUCGAAUACAUUAUGCAUGGAAUAAUAGAAUAGG